UUUUUACUGUAAUUACUCUCGUUACAAAUUCAAAGUCCUCGUUUCAUAUGCGGCAUCCCAUAUUUUUCACUUAUCUACAGGCUACCGUGUUUCGGGAAAAGUGUAAAGCUUUAUUUGGCUGCGUAUUCUACGUUAAAUGUAAAAUACGUUCGAGAUCCGGAUUAUCCAUUUUAUCGUGUGUAUCAUACCGAAAACCAAAACACGGCUAUGAAUUCUUCAAUUGAUUUAUCAAAAAAGGUCGCCUCAUUUUGGCAUUCUGUCCCUCUUCUUAAGAAAAACACUACACACAACAGUCUACAAAGAAAACCAUCUACUGAGUCGACCCUUAAAUUUCUAACUAAUGAUAACUAUGAAGAAAAUGCAUUUAAUAUGGUUGUAGAAAUACCGAAAAACUCAAAACGUAAAUACGAAAUGAGUAAGACGUUACCUUAUAAUCCUUUAGUUCAAGACCGUUUUAUGGAUGGAACUCUGCGGUACUUCAGAAAUGGACCAAUUCCUUGGAACUAUGGAUUUUUACCUCAAACAUGGGUAUCCCCAUGUCUGAAAAUUAAAAAUUUUUUCGGUGAUAAUGAUCCACUAGAUGUUCUUGAGCUAGGUUCGACCCCUUUGUCUAGAGGAGCCAUAGUUCCAAUUCACAUCCUGGGCGCAUUAGCUUUGAUUGACGAAAAUUGCCUGGAUAUAAAAAUUAUUGCAUUAAGAGAAAACAAAUUUAAGUCAUUGUGUAAAAAGCAGCACGAUGAUCUUAUGAAGCAGCAUUUAAACAAGUUAAGAUUUUGGUUUCAAACUUACAAGCUUUACGACUUUAAGCCUCUCAAUACUUUUCUUUACGAAGGAAGGUGCCUUAGCAAACAAUAUGUUUUUACGAUUAUACAAAAAUCAUUUGAACAAUGGCAAAAUCUGCAUAAAUUGUUUGAUAGCGAAAAUUCUGCAUUAUGUUAAUCAAAACAAAUACUCAAGUUUGUCAAGGAGUAAUGUAUGUUAUUUCCUUGAUCGUCAAAAAAUGUCAUUUCCAUUAUUAACACAUACAGCAGUAGUAGGCGAAAAAAAAAAUUCAUAAAUAACACUGUUUUUACUUUAGUAACAUUUCGCUUUCUCCUACUCAUAGACAAGUGGAAAGAAAAAGAUUACUCAUUUUUACGGAGAAACAGUAUACGUUUUACAGUUGUAAUAAAAAUUAUCUAUAGGAAAGGCGAAAUUCAUUUCAAUAUAAAAUCCUUUAUUUAUUAUGCUUGCUUUUAAUUUUUCGACAGAUUAACUGUCUUUCAUAACUAUUUGUUUGUAAGUUAUUCGAGUCUUACACUAAGUUACCUUAAAAGCUAAGACACGAAUUUUCAAUUUUAAUCUUUUUAAAAAAAAACAAAAAUUAAGUUUGUUAAUGAUAUUAUGAAUUUCAUGUGUUUUCUUAUAUUAGUUGUUCUGACAGAAUCAGUUAGAAUGCAGAAUGAGACGACAUUAAAAAACAAUAAAAAAUUGUUGAAAAAUCAGAACGGUAUCUCAUAUGCAACAAAAACAAAUAAAUUGCCUUUUUUAGUAUUACUUCCACAUCCAAGCAUUGUAUUUUUAAGUCGGGAAAGUAAAAAAUUAAAUCGAAACGCGAGGCGACUACAUGACAGCAAGGAAAAACUGUUGCUUCAAUUACCUUUUGUAACCAUUAUAGACAUGAUCUCUCCUUUAUGGAAAAAAAAUGAAAUUUCCUUAACACCUAAUAUUUUAUCUAAACAAAGUCAUUUAAAAUUGAAACAAAAUAAUGCAAGUUUUACCCCAGUCAUGUUAGAGUCACCUAACACAUUUAAAAAUGAUCUCAUAGUAUAAUUUCAAAAAUUAACUAAAAUCCUCAGGCCGCUUAUUAAAAUAAAGCUCAUAGCAUUACUAUAAGCAACAAUAGUAGUAGUGGUAGUAAAAUAAGCUAAGUAUUAGUUCCAUUGCAUACGCGUAAUCGAGAACAUAGGCUGUUGAAGGGAUAACCGAAGAAUUAUUUUCACAAUAGUAAUAUCAAAAACAAACAACCUUGUUAAUCUAAAUUACAAAGUACCUAACCCCGCUAGAGCACUCAACACACACAAUUUACUAAGAGUUCAUCAAAGUUUCAAAAAUAAAGAAACAAAUACUGUAAAAGGUUCAUUUUCAGAAGCCUUCAAGGAGGUAACCGAAUUCACUGAACUAGUAGACGUAUUUGCUUUGGAUAAUAAUGAGUACUUUUCGAUUAAUUUACCAAUAAGCUACACAGGACUAAACAAAUCAAAAAAACAUUCCGUAAAUCCUGUUUUGUUAAAAGAAAAAACUGUUACACCAUCAUUAUCCACCUUUUCCAUUACCUCUUUCGCGAAGAUUUUUAGUCGUUUAGCUCAUAAAGUCGCUACUAUUGUUUUUUAACAAGUGCUACAACACGAUCGCACUUGAUUCAUUUAUUUGUUUAUAGUGCUAUAAAGUAUAUGUAUAUCGCAUUACAAUGAUUAGUGUUAUAGUUUUCAUAAACAGAUUAUGAUUGAUUAAAAAAGAAAAUUUGUAUUAAAGAAGCAUUUUUCGCGGUCGAUAGCGUUCCUUUAAUUUUAUUUUGUUUUUGAAAUUUAUAAACAUUUUUUUUACCCAAGAUAAACGUAAGAUAUUUUUUUUUCAAAAAAAAUAUAAAUAUUGGCAGUGUGUUAAAGAAAUUAUUA